UACGGGGGGAGCAAGCGUUGUCCGGAAUCAUUGGGCGUAAAGCGCGUGUAGGCGGCCCUGAAAGUCUGGUGUGAAAACUUGAGGCUCAACCUCAAGCUGUCGCUGGAUACUGCAGGGCUUGAGUCCGGAAGAGGAGUGUGGAAUUCCUGGUGUAGCGGUGGAAUGCGCAGAUAUCAGGAGGAACACCUAUGGCGAAGGCAGCACUCUGGUACGUGACUGACGCUGAGACGCGAAAGCGUGGGGAGCAAACAGG
rnacentral:rRNA from 1 species